rnacentral:rRNA from 1 species
ACGAACGCUGGCGGCGUGCUUAACACAUGCCAGUCGAACGGAAAGGCCCUGCUUUUGUGGGGUGCUCGAGUGGCGAACGGGGGAGUAACACGUGAGUAACCUGCCCUUGACUUUGGGAUAACAUCAGGAAACUGGGGCUGAUACCGGAUAGGAGCUCCUGCUGCAUGGUGGGGGAUGGAAAGUUUCGGCGGUUGGGGAUGGACUCGCGGCUUAUCAGCUUGUUGGUGGGGUAGGGGCUUACAAAGGCUUUGACGGGUAGCCGGCCUGAGAGGGCGACCGGCCACAUUGGGACUGAGAUACGGCCCAGACUCCUACGGGAGGCAGCAGUGGGGAAUAUUGCACAAUGGGCGGAAGCCUGAUGCAGCAACGCCGCGUGCGGGAUGACGGCCUUCGGGUUGUAAACCGCUUUCGCCUGUGACGAAGCGUGAGUGACGGUAAUGGGUAAAGAAGCACCGGCUAACUACGUG